AAAAGCUAUCAACACAAAAAUAAAAGCAACCGUAGCUCUUCUCCAACUCUGCGGAAUGGAAAAAAUACGGUGGUCUGUCAGUUUUGUGACAAGGCUGGUCACACUGCCAAAGUUUGCUACAAAAUUAAGAGAUUUCCAAAUGCAAUGACCCUUAACCAACAUCGAACUUUGCUCAGAAUCAGGCUGCAACACAACACGGUAAUUGGAUCAUGGAUACUGGAGCAUCUCAUCAUAUUUUGCUCAAGAC
rnacentral:lncRNA from 1 species